UAAUCCGCAGCGAGCGCCUCCGCUUCCA
rnacentral:sRNA from 1 species